rnacentral:tRNA from 1 species
GCCGAAGUGGUGGAAUGGUAGACACGAGGGACUUAAAAUCCCUUGAGCAUUGCGCUCAUACGGGUUCGAGCCCCGUCUUCGGUA